UACAGAGGGGGCAAGCGUUGUUCGGAAUUACUGGGCGUAAAGGGCGCGUAGGCGCCUUCUAAGUCGAACGUGAAAUCCCCGGGCUCAACCCGGGAACUGCGUCCGAUACUGGAAGGCUUGAAUCCGGGAGAGGGAUGCGGAAUUCCAGGUGUAGCGGUGAAAUGCGUAGAUAUCUGGAGGAACACCGGUGGCGAAGGCGGGUCUCUGGGCCGUAACUGACGCUGAGGAGCGAAAGCAUGGGGAGCGAACAGG
rnacentral:rRNA from 1 species